rnacentral:rRNA from 1 species
UUGAACGCUGGCGGCAGGCCUAACACAUGCAAGUCGAGCGGUUGAGAGUAGCUUGCUACUUGAUGCAGCGGCGGACGGGUGAGUAACGCGUGGGAAUCUGCCCAGUAGUGGGGGACAACAGCCGGAAACGGCUGCUAAUACCGCAUACGCCCUACGGGGGAAAGGGGGGGAUCUUCGGACCUAUCGCUAUUGGAUGAGCCCGCGUCGGAUUAGCUAGUUGGUAGGGUAAAGGCCUACCAAGGCUACGAUCCGUAACUGGUCUGAGAGGAUGAUCAGUCAAACUGGAACUGAGACACGGUCCAGACUCCUACGGGAGGCAGCAGUGGGGAAUAUUGGACAAUGGGGGAAACCCUGAUCCAGCCAUGCCGCGUGUGUGAAGAAGGCCUUAGGGUUGUAAAGCACUUUCAGUGGGGAGAAAGGUUUGUCACCUAAUACGUGAUGAAAUUGAUGUUACCCACAGAAGAAGCACCGGCUAACUCCGUGCCAGCCGCCGCGGUAAAAC